UCGACCUGAAGGCUCAGGCACGAACAAGGGAAAAGAAAAGCUGUUCGAAUGAGAAUUAGUAUGAGUUAAUGGUUAUAGUUAGUAAGACAAUGGAAUCUAUUGUCAGGUAUUGUAAGGAAUGUAUUUUGAAGGUCACGUACCUGGGAAAGUAAACUUUGAUGUAUGUAAAUUAAGUUCGAGUUAUAUUAUUAUUUAGUAUUAUUCAGCUUAAAGAAAUGGUAUCGUG
rnacentral:lncRNA from 1 species